GACUAUUUAUCAAUUCCAAGAUUUAUAUUAGACUUUAAAUUUAUGAUUAAUUCGUAUUCGUGUCAACAUGCGCAAAAAAAGUAGAAAAAAAAAUAAUAAACUUCAAAAAUUAAAAGAACGACAUGUAAUGUAAGGAAAUGAACUGUAGAAGGUCGUAACAAAACUUAAAAAAUUCUUGUAAACGUCUACGGAAUCUUAUAGAAAGAAAACUGGAUAAACACGGGGAAAAAUGAAUACCUAUCAAAUAUGAGUUUAUUUUACAAUUAUGGACGCGACAUAAUAGGUUUUGGCGUCACUGCAAUGUGUUAAAAAAUUCUUUAGUUUUGCACGUGCCUAAGAUAUCAGCAGUAAUACCAGUAGUAGUAGUCGUGGUGUGAUAGCGUUAAUAGUAAUAGUUUUAUAUUAGCAGUGUUACUAGUCACAGAAUAUCAGCCCAAGGCAACAAAACACGUUGUCGGCUCAUGUUACUCACUACGUUAUCGCUUUAUUAUUUAUGUGUUGGUAACGACAAGGCGUUAACUGAUGAAAUUUGUUUAAAUCGCUACUUACAAACCAUACAAUAUGUUUGUUUUCGAUACGUUGAACGAUUGUUCAGUGCAAUGAAUUUACAGUGGUCAUACCGAAUAGUAUAUAAAAACGUAAUAUUAAUUAGAUCGUUCCGAAUACUUAAAUUUGGAUUACAUAAUUAGAUAUCGUUUAACAUAUAUAAUAUAAAAAUUGUACGAAUCUGCGAACGUCGUCACCGUUACUGUGACCUCGAUUACUAAUUACACUAGAAAAUAGUUCGGCGUCAUUACACUUUGUUCGGAUUUCUGGAGGAACGUUAAUUUUUUUAUCGACAAGCAUACACUACAAAACAGCUGCUUCGGAGGAGAUAUCAAUGGGAUUGUUUAGCAACAUCAAUGGCACACUACGGUACCAAUUUUUAUUGUAAACGAACUACCCCUUCGGGUUCGGCAGCGGACUUCUGCCUGCGUUCCCAUUACUGCCAUAACAGCGGAGGAGUUGGGUACUGCACGUUCGGUUACAACGAGCGACGUGUUGUGCAGUGUCACUAACCGGAAGUAUUAGGUGUUCCGCACAAACACGACCGUUCUCGUUUUCUAAACUGGUAUAUGGUCAUCGUGCGAGUGAAUGUUUCUAGUGUUGGGCGACGGCGGAACCAGUGAGAGUGAUGGAGGUAAUUCAUCAUGCGCGGCCGCCAAGUUGACCUUGUGACACGGCCACCGCCACAAUUUAACAAGGCGCGCGCGUGUAGUAAUAUGCCACCGUUGGCUGUUCCACUACUGGCAAUUUUCCCUUCGUGUGGCCUGACGAUGCUUUACGCUCGGUGACUGGAUGUUACUUGCGUUUUCACCGAGAACAGUCUUUGACUAGAGCUUUUUCAACGGGCUCUGUUUGGAGACACCUCCGGAUCAAAGAAUUAUUCAUUGCCAACAACGUUAUGUCCUGUUCGUGAUUUUCAUAAGAUUUCCAGUAUGUUUUUUAAACAUUUUGAAAAAAAAUAAUGCGCGUUGAAAAAUAAUGGAAUUUUUAAAGCAGAAUGUCCUAGUAAAAAAAAAAAAAAACCAUUUACUAUUUGUUCCUCGGAUUGGCUUUCAAUAUAAGUAAAACAAAAUUAACCGUUUAGAAAAUAGUAGGGAAAUAAAAUCGGUUUGAAGAUAAGAUACGUUCUUGGAUAACGGCCGCAGUAGUUUAAAAACCGAUUCGUUUCGGAUACCUCUGGAACCGUUUCUAGUAUUCGACUGCGAACUUCUCACAUAAUAUUAUAACACAACCUUAACUGACUUUGCCGAAGGAUGUGUGUAAUGUAUACAAAUCCAGUGACCGCAAAUAAGUAAAACAACGUCCUUGUCAUUGGCAAUAAGUCUCAACGUUAAUGAAUAUGAAACAUCGUAAAUAUUUGGGGUGUGCCGUACCAUGUGUCUAUAAGAUAUUCAAAACACUCUAAAUAUAUUCGAAGUAAAAGAAUAAGGUUCAUUGUAUAAUCCAUAAAGAAUUACCAGCUGUUAUGGAAUUUAAAUUCAAGAUAAUGCAAAGGAAGUUAUUUUCUACAGUUACCCGAUUUUAAAAAUUGUUUCAUCAUUGUGUUAUGUUUACUAUCAUUGUUAAAAAAAUGGUUUGCAAGCUGACGAUGAAAAUACUUUCCAUUUAGAGAAAUGUUAAACAUUACUGUUAUAAUUACUUUGUUAUCAGAUUUUGUCAAAAUUAAUUGAAAUAAAGUAAAGUGACUUCUAGUUAUUGUUGUAAUUAUUAGAUUUUUACUUAUUUAUGAGCAAUAUUAAUAGCAAA